rnacentral:lncRNA from 1 species
AGGAAAUUAAUCCUUACACACCCAUCACCAUUUCCAUCACCCUUCAAAUAAAUAUCUUAUGCAUUAAAACAUUUGAAAAACAUAAAACAUAAACUUUAUGUAAUAAAUCAAAACUUUGAAUCAAAACACAAACCUUUUUGUUCUUGGCAAAAAUGUCAAGAACAAUGAAGAACAUUCAUGAAAAACCCAAAAUUUUUCCAUGAACUUUUUCACCCAAAAACAUUCCAAAACCAUUCAAACUUUAGGGAAAUAACAUCUAACCAAACUAGGGUACAUAAGGGUUCCAAAAGUCACUUGAAAACACAUUUAACAAGUCAAACAAGAACCCAAAAAUGCACCCUUUUGAUUUGGCCGAAAAUCCCCAAAGUCAUGGCACCAAAUUUUAGCUCCAAUAUUCAUGCUCAUAUGAACUACAUCUACAACAUUUGAGAUGGCAAAUUUUCUAGCAAAAUUUACAUUCAAAAAACAAGAAUAAAGCUUGUAACAUAUUACAACUUUUAAAUCACAAACUAUGAACUACAAAACCCAAAAGGAUUCACCAACUACUAGACCUAGGCUCUGAUACCACUUGAAGGAAUAUUUUUGUGAAAACAUGUUCAUUUAAGCAACAUCAAUAAGCAUGCAAUUAACAAUUAAAG